rnacentral:rRNA from 1 species
AUUGAACGCUGGCGGCAUGCUUUACACAUGCAAGUCAAACGGUAACAGGACGCAAGGUGCUGACGAGUGGCGAACUGGUGAGUAAUGCAUCGGAACGUGCCCAGUAGUGGGGGAUAACGCAGCGAAAGCUGUGCUAAUACCGCAUACGAUCUAUGGAUGAAAGCGGGGGACAGUAAGGCCUCGCGCGAUUGGAGCGGCCGAUGUCAGAUUAGGUAGUUGGUGGGGUAAAGGCGCACCAAGCCAACGAUCUGUAGCUGGUCUGAGAGGACGACCAGCAAGACUGGGACUGAGACACAGCCCAGACUCGUACGGGAGGGAGCAGUGGGGAGUUUUAGACACGGGGCGAAAGCCUGAUCCUGGAAUGCCGCGUGCAGGAACAAGGCCUUCGGGUUGUAAACUGCUUUUGUACGGAAUGAAACGGCAAGCUCUAAUACAGUUUGCUAAUGACGGUACCGUAAGAAUAAGCACCGGCUAACUACGUGCCAGCAGCCGCGGUAA